GUGAUUACUUUGCAGCAUAUGUGGUAAAACUGAAGUGAUACAGAGACAAUUAGCAUGGCUCCUAAGCAAGAUGAUAUUCAAAAUUUUAAGAAUUACAUAUUUUAA